UAUUUUCCUGACUCAUGGUCCUUGGACACCAUUUUCUAACAGUGGGUGUUCGAUGGUGAUUAGGAGUCAGGAGAGCUUCUGCUUUUACCAGUUUUAUUUUGGUUGCUAACUUUCUUCCCCCUCCCAAUGUUCCUUUGUAACUCUCUGGUACCAUACUAACUUGAUCGAGUUUUUCGAGGAAGUGACAAAGAUGAUCAACAAUGGAAGGGCAGUGGAUGUUAUAUACGUGGAUUUCAGUAAGGCCUUUGAUAAGGUCCCUCAUGGCAGACUGGUACAGAAGGUAAAGUCGCACGGGAUCAGAGGGAAGAAGACUGAGCUGAAGUGUACAAGACAGGACAGUCAGGAACCCACGUUACACGUGAUGAGAGUUACUAAGCAGGACUCCAUUCAGAGUCCCAUGUUAUGAUUCAAAGCCAGAUGUUGAGGGAUGACUGGUAUAGUGAACAUGCCUGCUGAAUUCCAGCGUGUAGUUUCUUGAACACGUUGGAUAGGAACGUCAACAAAGCACCAUGCCCUCAACUUAAAAAAAAUAAAAAUAACAAGAGAUUA